GUAAUAGUUAUGUUCUUGAAACCCAGAGAAUUUGGCGGUAUUUUAGUCCUUUCAGAGGAAUCUGUCCCGUAAUCGACAUCCCACGAGAUGAUGUACUUAUUCUUGUUUUCAGUUUGUAUACCUCCGUCGUAAGAGAAUUUUUUUAGAGUAUAAUUUUCUUUAUAUAUUAAAUAUAUUAUGUCAGGUCAAGGUGCGAUUUAUGAAUAAGUGGAGAUGGAUUACAAUAAGUAUACUUAAAUGGAUUGGAUUAUUUAAUUUUUCUAUGAAGGUGGAUUUGAUAGUAAUUUUGAUUAUUUGUUAUUUUGAUUGCUGGCUCUAGAAUAUGCACACAUCGCCCG
rnacentral:rRNA from 1 species